CAAGAGGGGCAGACAAUCGCUGGUCAAAGCUUUAAAGCAAUGACGAGAGGAAAGUCCGGACUUCACAGGAACAAAAUGACGGCUAACGGCCGCCCGGGGCAACCCGAGGGAUAGUGCCACAGAAAACAAACCGCCCUGCUAUAUGCAGAGUAAGGAUGAAACGGCGGGGUAAGAGCCCACCGCUUGACUGGUAACAGUUCAAGGCUUGGUAAACCCCAUUUGAAGCAAGACCAAGAAAAUGGCAGCGAUUUAUUUCGCAAGGUAUCGUUCCUGUACCGCCUGAUAGGUAGGUCGCCAGAAAGUUAUAGUAAUAUAGCUUCUAGAUGAAUGAUUGUCCUUUGACAAAAUCCGGCUUAUCGCCCCUCUUAUUUU
rnacentral:RNase_P_RNA from 1 species